rnacentral:ncRNA from 1 species
AUAGCGGGUGCCGAAAAGCUGAGAGAAUAGAGUAGGCG